ACACACAGUAAAUUGUUAAAUAUUAGGACAACCUGAAUUAACACAGUCAUACAUAGCAAUAUUAGAUAUCAAGACAACACAAAACAAGUCCAUCGAAUCACCUGUCAUACAUAAUACAUUAUUAAAUACCAUGACAACAUUAAAACAGGUCCAAAUGAAUCACCAGUCAUAGUACAUAAUUUAUAAUAAAUUCAUGUGCUAAUACAUUAUUAAAUACCAUGACAACAUAAAACAGGUCCAAAUGAAUCACCAGCCAUAAUACAUAAUUUAUAAUAAAUUGAUGUGCUUUCCCUUGGAAGUCCUGAUCUCCAGGCUUGGGUCACUCCCCUUGUUUAUUCAUACAGCGUUUUCAUCUCUGUUUUCUUUCUCAUGGUCUUUUCCAUUCUCAAU
rnacentral:lncRNA from 1 species